GUAUCAGCCGCCGCGUUAAUACGAAGGGGGCUAGCGUUGUUCGGAAUUACUGGGCGUAAAGCGCGCGUAGGCGGACUGGUCAGUCAGGGGUGAAAUCCCGGGGCUUAACCUCGGAACUGCCUUUGAUACUGCCAGUCUCGAGUCCGGAAGAGGUGAGUGGAAUUCCUAGUGUAGAGGUGAAGUUCGUAGAUAUUAGGAAGAACACCGGUGGCGAAGGCGGCUCACUGGUCCGGUACUGACGCUGAGGCGCGAAAGCGUGGGGAGCAAACAGGAUUAGAUACCCUGGUAGUCCGCGCCGUAAACGAUGGAUGCUAGCCGUUGGGUAGUGUACUGCUCAGUGGCGCAGCUAACGCAUUAAGCAUCCCGCCUGGGGAGUACGGCCGCAAGGUUAAAACUCAAAGGAAUUGGCGGGG
rnacentral:rRNA from 1 species